GCCAGGUAUGGUGGCUUAUGCCUGUAAUCCCAGAGGUUUUGAAGGCUGAGACAGGAGGAUUGCAAGUUCAAAGCCAGCCUCAGCAAUGGCAAGUUGUUAAGCAACUCAGUGAGACCCUGUCUCUA
rnacentral:sRNA from 1 species